AUCCAGGGGGUGCGAGCGUUAAUCGGAAUUACUGGGCGUAAAGAGUACGUCGGCGGUUGCUUAAGUCAGAUGUGAAAGCCCCGGGCCCAACCUGGGAACUGCAUUUGAAACUGAGUGACUAGAGUUUAAGAGAGGGGAGUAGAAUUCCGGGUGUAGCGGUGAAAUGCGUAGAGAUCAGGAGGAAUACCAGUGGCGAAGGCGGCUCCCUGGCUUAAAACUGACGCUCAGGUACGAAAGCGUGGGUAGCAAACAGGAUUAGAUACCCUAGUAGUCC
rnacentral:rRNA from 1 species